AAUCUCAAUCCCACUAGGUUUAUGAUCUGGUGGUGAUUGGACUUGGACGUGUGCCAGUAAUGGCUCGUCUUAAAUGGAUUAGUGGGAUCUUGACUUCCACGGCAGACGUAAUAAGUUUCGUCUCGCCUGUUGUCUAUAGGCCUGCUUAUAACCCGCGCUUGCGCACUUUUAUGA
rnacentral:misc_RNA from 1 species